AUGGUGUCACAGCCACAACUCUUCAUCCUCCUGGUGCUCUGGGUCUCAGAUGUCUAUGGGGAUAUUGUGAUGACCCAGACUCCAGGCUCUCUGGCUGUGUCUGUAGGAGAUACGGUCACCAUCAACUGCAAGUCCAGCCAGAGUCUUUUAUCCAGCUCCAACCAGAAAAACUACUUAGCCUGGUACCAGCAGAAACCAGGGCAGGCUCCUAAGUGGCUCAUCUACUAUGCAUCCAGCAGGGCCACAGGGGUCCCUGACCGAUUCAGUGGCAGUGGGUCGGGGACAGAUUUCACUUUCACCAUCAGCAGCCUCCAGGCUGAAGAUGUGGCAGUUUAUUACUGUCAGCAGCUUUAUAGCUCUCCUCCCACAGUGCUUCAGCCUCAAACACAAACUUCCUCCCCAGAACCACACAUCAGUGAGUCUUUGCUGCACCAGCUGCUUCUUUCCUGCACCUAUUUGAGAGGCCCUUAG